AAAAACUGGUUGCGUAGCAGUUCUCACUGUUACAGUUCAGCACAUUAUAAGAAUCCUUUAUGGGGGUAAAAUGUAUAAAGAGCAUUGUGGAGGGUGACCUGUUUUCUUCUUCUGUGUUUGCCUAGUGUGCUGGAUAAUUAAAUGAGUAGAUAAAGUCUAUAUGAAGUAAAGUCUUAUGUAAUAUCAAACAAAAAAACGUGAUUUUUGGAAAGGUUUUGCCUAAGUGACUUUUUUCUGUGUUUAUAACAUUACAAAUGUUCUGCCUUCAACCUUCUCGGCU
rnacentral:lncRNA from 1 species